rnacentral:rRNA from 1 species
CAGGCUUAACGCAUGCAAGUCGAGGGGCAUCAGGAAGAAAGCUUGCUUUCUUUGCUGGCGACCGGCGCACGGGUGAGUAACACGUAUCCAACCUGCCCUUUACUCGGGGAUAGCCUUUCGAAAGAAAGAUUAAUACCCGAUAGCAUAAUGAUUCCGCAUGGUUUCAUUAUUAAAGGAUUCCGGUAAAGGAUGGGGAUGCGUUCCAUUAGGUUGUUGGUGAGGUAACGGCCCACCAAGCCUUCGAUGGAUAGGGGUUCUGAGAGGAAGGUCCCCCACAUUGGAACUGAGACACGGUCCAAACUCCUACGGGAGGCAGCAGUGAGGAAUAUUGGUCAAUGGGCGCUAGCCUGAACCAGCCAAGUAGCGUGAAGGAUGAAGGCUCUAUGGGUCGUAAACUUCUUUUAUAUAAGAAUAAAGUGCAGUAUGUAUACUGUUUUGUAUGUAUUAUAUGAAUAAGGAUCGGCUAACUCCGUGCCAGCAGCCGCGGUAAUACGGAGGAUCCGAGCGUUAUCCGGAUUUAUUGGGUUUAAAGGGAGCGUAGGUGGACUGGUAAGUCAGUUGUGAAAGUUUGCGGCUCAACCGUAAAAUUGCAGUUGAUACUGUCAGUCUUGAGUACAGUAGAGGUGGGCGGAAUUCGUGGUGUAGCGGUGAAAUGCUUAGAUAUCACGAAGAACUCCGAUUGCGAAGGCAGCUCACUGGACUGCAACUGACACUGAUGCUCGAAAGUGUGGGUAUCAAACAGGAUUAGAUACCCUGGUAGUCCACACAGUAAACGAUGAAUACUCGCUGUUUGCGAUAUACAGUAAGCGGCCAAGCGAAAGCAUUAAGUAUUCCACCUGGGGAGUACGCCGGCAACGGUGAAACUCAAAGGAAUUGACGGGGGCCCGCACAAGCGGAGGAACAUGUGGUUUAAUUCGAUGAUACGCGAGGAACCUUACCCGGGCUUAAAUUGCAGUGGAAUGAUGUGGAAACAUGUCAGUGAGCAAUCACCGCUGUGAAGGUGCUGCAUGGUUGUCGUCAGCUCGUGCCGUGAGGUGUCGGCUUAAGUGCCAUAACGAGCGCAACCCUUAUCUUUAGUUACUAACAGGUUAUGCUGAGGACUCUAGAGAGACUGCCGUCGUAAGAUGUGAGGAAGGUGGGGAUGACGUCAAAUCAGCACGGCCCUUACGUCCGGGGCUACACACGUGUUACAAUGGGGGGUACAGAAGGCAGCUAGCGGGUGACCGUAUGCUAAUCCCAAAAUCCUCUCUCAGUUCGGAUCGAAGUCUGCAACCCGACUUCGUGAAGCUGGAUUCGCUAGUAAUCGCGCAUCAGCCACGGCGCGGUGAAUACGUUCCCGGGCCUUGUACACACCGCCCGUCAAGCCAUGGGAGCCGGGGGUACCUGAAGUACGUAACCGCAAGGAUCGUCCUAGGGUAAAACUGGUGACUGGGGCUAAGUC